rnacentral:lncRNA from 1 species
AAAAAAAAAGAACGAGGGAACGAAAAGGAGAGAGAAAGAGGAAAGAGAAAAAGUAAUAAGGGUAUUUUAGUCAGUUUGCUGAAAAAGCGGACCGAAUCUGCAAAAACGAAAAAGAUGACUUGAUUUUGCAAAAGUCCAAAAUAAGUGGAUUUUUUAUGCAAAUUGGCCUUCCAUUAUAUUAUUAAAAGGUACAAAUUAAAUACCAUUGUUGAAGAUGAUACCGGUUCCGCAAAUUUUACCAUUUUCGGCAGAUUGGCCCAAGAUUUGAUUCAUAUUCCGGCUUAAAACCUCGCUACUUCAGCUGGUUUAAAUAAAUUUACUCUUCCUCCUGCAAUUAAAAUAAUUAUUGAAAAUGAACAUAUUUUUCAAAUAGUACCUGACAUACACAGGUUCAGAACAAGUGUUCCUUCUUUUAAGGUUGCCAAAAUUUUAAAUAUUCAGUACGAUAUAAAGGAGAAUACUUCUUUGUCUAAAACUUUAAUGAUU